GCCGGGCGCGGUAGCACGUGCCUGUAGUCCCAGCUACUCGGGAGGCUGAGGUGGGAGGAUCGCUUGAGCCCAGAAAUUCUGGGCUGUAGUGUGCUAUGCUGAUCAGGUGUCCACACUAAGUUCGGCAUCAAUACGGUGACCUCCCAGGAAGGGGGGACCACCAGGUUGCCUAAGGAGGGGUGAAACGGCCCAGAUCAGAAACAGAGCAGGUCAAAACUCCCGUGCUGAUCAGUAGUGGGAUCGCACCUGUGAAAGGCACUGCACUCCAGCCUGGGCAACAUAGCAAGACCCCAUCUCUA
ensembl:misc_RNA Metazoa_SRP Metazoan signal recognition particle RNA